ACCACAGUUACAAACAGCCUCCAGAGAUCCUGUUCUACACCAGACCAGUGGAGCCAGACUGCAGCCAGAGCCCAUCUUUCUUCUGCCUAGGGCAGCAAAAAUCCUUGCACCGGCCCUGGUCCAGUGUCACCCGAAAGCCCAUAGGAAAGCAUUGUAUAAUGCUGUCCUAUGGGGGAAUCCGGAAUUCGAGCAUAGCCAUUGCCACAUUAGGUCUCCC